rnacentral:rRNA from 1 species
GACCUGACGACGCAACGCCGCGUGGAGGAUGAAGGUCUUCGGAUUGUAAACUCCUGUUGCCCGGGACGAAUGGCUCCAACCUAACACGUUGGAGUGUGACGGUACCGGGUGAGGAAGCCCCGGCUGACUCUGUGCCAGCAGCCGCGGUAAUACAGAGGGGGCAAGCGUUGUUCGGAAUUACUGGGCGUAAAGGGCGCGUAGGCGGCCUUCUAAGUCGAACGUGAAAUCCCCGGGCUCAACCCGGGGACUGCGUCCGAUACUGGAAGGCUUGAAUCCGGGAGAGGGAUGCGGAAUUCCAGGUGUAGCGGUGAAAUGCGUAGAUAUCUGGAGGAACACCGGUGGCGAAGGCGGCAUCCUGGACCGGUAUUGACGCUGAGGCGCGAAAGCCAGGGGAGCAAACGGGAUUAGAUACCCCGGUAGUCCUGGCCCUAAACGAUGAAUGCUUGGUGUGGCGGGUAUCGAUCCCUGCCGUGCCGAAGCUAACGCAUUAAGCAUUCCGCCUGGGGAGUACGGUCGCAAGGCUG